rnacentral:rRNA from 1 species
AUUGAACGCUGGCGGCAUGCCUUACACAUGCAAGUCGAACGGUAACAGGUUAAGCUGACGAGUGGCGAACGGGUGAGCAAUAUAUCGGAACGUGCCCAGUCGUGGGGGAUAACUGCUCGAAAGAGCAGCUAAUACCGCAUACGACCUGAGGGUGAAAGCGGGGGAUCGCAAGACAUCGCGCGAUUGGAGCGGCCGAUAUCAGAUUAGGUAGUUGGUGGGGUAAAGGCCUACCAAGCCUACGAUCGUUAGCUGGUCUGAGAGGACGACCAGCCACACUGGGACUGAGACACGGCCCAGACUCCUACGGGAGGCAGCAGUGGGGAAUUUUGGACAAUGGACGCAAGUCUGAUCCAGCCAUGCCGCGUGCGGGAAGAAGGCCUUCGGGUUGUAAACCGCUUUUGUCAGGGAAGAAAAGGUUCUGGUUAAUACCUGGGACUCAUGACGGUACCUGAAGAAUAAGCACCGGCUAACUACGUGCCAGCAGCCGCAGUAACAC